AGGGCACCACCAGGAGUGGAGCCUGCGGCUUAAUUUGACUCAACACGGGAAAACUCUCCCGGCCCGGACACUGGAAGGAUUGACAGAUUGAGAGCUCUUUCUUGAUUCAGUGGGUGGUGGUGCAUGGCCGUUCUUAGUUGGUGGAGUGAUUUGUCUGGUUAAUUCCGAUAACGAACGAGACUCUAGCCUACUAAAUAGCCUGCCUGGCUUACAAACGCCGUCAAGACUUCUUAGAGGGACAGGCGGUGAUUCAACCGCACGAAACAGAGCAAUAACAGGUCUGUGAUGCCCUUAGAUGUCCGGGGCCGCACGCGCGCUACACUGAAGUGAUCAGCGUGCCUAUUCAGCCUACUCUGUCAAGAGUGGGAAACCCAAUGAACCUUCUUCGUGAUUGGGAUAGGGGAUUGUAAUUAUUCCCCUUGAACGAGGAAUUCCCAGUAAGCGCGAGUCAUAAGCUCGCGUUGAUUACGUCCCUGCCCUUUGUACACACCGCCCGUCGCUACUACCGAUUGAAUGUUU
rnacentral:rRNA from 1 species